AUAGAGAGAAAAUUGAUACAAAUUUAAAUUCCACCCAAGAUUUUAGAGGUCAGUUUCAUCCACCAUGUUGACCUAAUCAGUGCCUACUCAAUGUAAAAGAACAAAACCCUAAGACAACUUAAACCUAAGUUAACAAACCCUUCAAAACCUACUGCAAGAACUCCAACUGCCUGCAUCUUCCAGAGCGCCGCCAUCCAUUAACGUCGGACCGCCAUCAAUUGCCGUCACUGCACGUCGAAGGUGUCGUCGGUAGUUGUUUCGUGGAAGUUUGUCCCCCUCUUCGUUGUUUUGUCUUCCUGGAUUCGUUGGCGUUGCAGCCUCCGUUGUCAUCGACAACGGCGUCUCUGUGGUCAGCGAUUAAGGAGUUGUCGUCAACGUGGGCCCUGAUUUCGGUGCCUCUGUAGUUAGAGCAAAGUAAAUUAUUUGAGAACUCCUCUCUCUAUCUGACGGAACCCACUUCUAUUCUCCCUCGCCGAGAAACCCUCUUUUGAUCCUGUAACACGUGACUCAUUGGGAACUUGGGAGUAGAGUUUCUAAAUUCUUGUUACAGGAGAGAAAGAUACGAUAGCAACCAUUGCAAACUCAGCUACCAUUAAGGAAGUUGCAGCAGUUGUUUACAGUGAAGCUGAUACACUUUUGAGAAAAGAGAAGCAAGGUUUAACUUUCACCUGGCCGUUUCUUGCAUUCCUAGUAACUUCCCAAAAGAAAGCUGUACAGGAUUAAUCAAAUGCCUAGAAGACCUCAGUACACCAUUAGUAGUGCAGCCAGAAUUGAUGCUGCCGCUGAUUAUCAAACUCAAGCUAGUUUGAUGAGUUAAGUAAUACUGGUUUGAGCUUGAAAUAUUGAUUUCCAUUUUAGUAUAGAUUUUUAGUCAAUAUCAUUUGUGGGAAUACUAAAAAAGAUUUCUUGAUUAUGUAUUUAAUUUUAUUUUAACUAAAGGAUGGAACAAUGGAUAAGGGAGCUAAUACUUCAAGUACACAUCGACAUCCUACAGCUCCUCCACGUCCGUAUUCUAGCAACGGUGGUCGACAAUCUCGUGUUAAUGAUGUACCAUUUCAACCACCACACAACGAAAGAAGGCUGGCUCCGUCAACUGACAUGGGUGACACUCGAGCUCCUCCCAAACGCACAGAGCAUCGGGAUCACGAUGACAUUGCCGAUGUCUAUUCGGAAGAUGAAGAUUAUGACUCGGAGGCAGAUGAGGUCAAGUCGUUCGAUGACCAUGUCGAUGACUUGUUUUCUGCGCAAGCUGAAUAUCAGGGCAAUGCUAACAGCUGCAAAGACACUGAUUUUUGGGAAGUUGAUGUCACCGAAAACGGCAUGAAAAAAUAGAUGGAUCUGACUGUUAAGGAGGCAUUAGCACUUCCUCCUGGAAGGAAGAUUGUACUCCAACAUAACACAGAGUUGCAACCAGUUGGUCAGAUAGCGGGCCUAUUAAGCGGGUUCUUCGAGAGUUUGGGGGCUGACUUUCAACAGUUACCGAUUUGUGAAAAUAGUUGGAAGACAAUGAACAAGGAUAUCAAGGAACAUGCGUUCGACCAAGUUAAGCGAGUCUUUUACUUGGACGAGAAAAACUAAAGAAGGGAAUCAUACAGAGGAUAGGAAGAAACUAGAAGAACACAAGAAAUAAUUUGUUUCAUAAGUUUUAUGAUAGCACAAAGACUUUUGAGGAAAAUGCCAACCAUAAACCAUCAGGAAUAGAUGGAAAUCACUGGAAAUAGUUUCUUGAAUAUCAGUUGAAAGACGACACAAAAGUAACAAAUAAUGAAUUGGAGAAGUGCAGAAAAAAUGCCCUAAAUCAUUCAAAACAACUUUAUACACAUACUGCGGGUUCUAAAUCAAUGGCCAGAAAAGAUACAAAGAAGAGCAACGACAGGGAAGGCCCAUUGGUAAAGGAGAGAUAUGGACCAUGUCUCAUAAAAAAAUGGCACAUAUAUAAAUGACGAUAUGCUUAUUGUUGGUGAAGCAAUUGCACAUAUUGAGAGCGAAGAUGCAUCUAGCAAGGAGCUUUCACAGAAUGAUUCCCUUGCACAAGUUCUUAGAAAUGAGCACCCAGGACAUGUUUGUAGACUAGGUUUCGGACCAUGUCCCACUCAGUAUUUUCGUAAUAUUGCAUAGUAGUUGGACUCCAGUGUGCAACGUGAAGAGUAUAAGAAGGAAAUUGCAGAACAUGAGGCAGAGGUAGUAGAGGAGAAGGCAUAGAGACAGACAGUGCAGAGUUUGUUAAGAUACAUAAUCCAGCAAUAAGGAAAUAAUGCCCCACCUAACGUAGCUGCAACUCUGGAUUCUUUGGGAAGUGCACCGAUGUUAUCUCGCACACGAUCAUCUUCUUGCGAUAAUGAUCUGCAUGAUAAAUCAUGAGUUUGAGUCAAUAGAUACACUUGAAUCUGAUCACUUUUUAAUUAUUCAUUGUUUAAUUACUUUUGAGUUAUUUAUUUCUAGGUUAUAGUCAUUAAUGCACCUAGGACAAAUUACUAUUAUAUGUAUAGACUUUCACGUAUAUAUUUAUGUUAUGUUUUUCCGUUUUAAUGUUA